CCCUUAGAUGUCCUGGGCCGCGCGCGCGUUACACUGAUGCAUUCAACGAGCUUAUAACCUUGGCCGAGAGGCCUGGGCAAUCUUGUUAACGUGCAUCGUGAUAGGGAUAGAUUAUUGAAAUUAUUAAUCUUGAACGAGGAAUUCCUAGUAAACGCAGAUCAUCAAUCUACAUUGAUUACGUCCCUGCCCUUUGUACACACCGCCCGUCGCACCUACCGAUUGGAUGGUCCGGUGAAGCCUCGGGAUUGUGGUUCUUGCCGCUUUAUUGUGGCGUGACCGCGAGAACUUGUCUAAACCUUAUCAUCUAGAGGAAGGUGAAGUCGUAACA
rnacentral:rRNA from 1 species